rnacentral:rRNA from 1 species
AACGAACGCUGGCGGCAGGCUUAACACAUGCAAGUCGAACGCAUCCUUCGGGGUGAGUGGCAGACGGGUGAGUAACGCGUGGGAACGUGCCCUUCAGUUCGGGAUAACCCGGGGAAACUUGGGCUAAUACCGGAUACGUGCGAGGGCGGAAAGAUUUAUCGCUGAAGGAUCGGCCCGCGUCUGAUUAGCUAGUGGGUGGGGUAAUGGCCCACCAAGGCGACGAUCAGUAGCUGGUCUGAGAGGAUGAUCAGCCACAUUGGGACUGAGACACGGCCCAAACUCCUACGGGAGGCAGCAGUGGGGAAUAUUGGACAAUGGGCGCAAGCCUGAUCCAGCCAUGCCGCGUGAGUGAUGAAGGCCUUAGGGUUGUAAAGCUCUUUCGUCCGGGACGAUAAUGACGGUACCGGAAGAAGAAGCCCCGGCUAACUUCGUGCCAGCAGCCGCCGUAAUAC